AACGAACGCUGGCGGCGUGGAUAAGACAUGCAAGUCGAACGGGAAUGAACGGGUAGCAAUAUUCGGACAUUCUAGUGGCGAAAGGGUGCGUAACACGUAGACCAUCUACCUCUAAGUGUGGGAUAGCUCGGCGAAAGCCGGAUUAAUACCGCAUGUGGCUUAGGAACGCAUGUUCCGAAAGUUAAGCCGGGGACCGUAAGGCCUGGCGCUUGGAGAUGAGUCUGCGGCCUACAGCUUGUU
rnacentral:rRNA from 1 species